CUCCUACGGGAGGCAGCAGUCGAGAAUUUUUCUCAAUGGGGGAAACCCUGAAGGAGCGACGCCGCGUGGAGGAUGAAGGCUUUCGGGUUGUAAACUCCUGUCAUUUGGGAACAAGGUGCACACGUUAACUGCGUGGGUAUUGAUAGUACCAGAAGAGGAAGAGACGGCUAACUCUGUGCCAGCAGCCGCGGUAAUACAGAGGUCUCAAGCGUUGUUCGGAUUCAUUGGGCGUAAAGGGUGCGUAGGUGGCGCUGUAAGUCGGGUGUGAAAUUUCGAGGCUUAACCUCGAAACUGCAUUCGAUACUGCGGUGCUUGAGGACUGGAGAGGAGACUGGAAUUCAUGGUGUAGCAGUGAAAUGCGUAGAGAUCAUGAGGAAGACCAGUGGCGAAGGCGGGUCUCUGGACAGUUCCUGACACUGAGGCACGAAGGCCAGGGGAGCAAACGGGAUUAGAUACCCCGGUAGUCCUGGCAGUAAACGGUGCACGUUUGGUGUGGGAGGAUUCGACCCCUUCCGCGCCGGAGCUAACGCGUUAAACGUGCCGCCUGGGGAGUACGGUCGCAAGAUUAAAACUCAAAGAAAUUGACGGGGGCCCGCACAAGCGGUGGAGUAUGUGGCUUAAUUCGAUGCAACGCGAAGAACCUUACCAGGCCUUGACAUGCAUUUCUAAGCGGGUGAAAGCCCGUGAGUCCC
rnacentral:rRNA from 1 species